rnacentral:lncRNA from 1 species
GUACAUGAUGACAGAAUUAAAAAAAUUGGGUGAACUAUCCCACUAAACAGUGAGCUUGUGCCAUUUAAGUCUGGUAAUUUCAGUUGUAAAUUUGAAUAAUAUAUGUAAAUGUUGAUUUGUGUUGUUUUUAUCCUCUACAGCUGAUCACAUUCAGAACACUGAUCCUACCUUCAAUGCUCCUGACACUAACUGUGAGGUGGCCUUUGCUCCAGAGACUGUUGGUGUGUACUUCAUUGUACACCAUUUUCAUUGUUUCCAUUUAUAUCUGACAGUGGGUUAGAAUGUUAAUAAAUGUUUUCUACAAGAGUGUUUUCUACAAGAUCUCCAGCACUCACUGAGCGAUUCCUCAGGUGAUGAGGCAUCACCUCUUGGAACCCCAAGAGAUCCUCUUCUGGCAUCUUCGAACUGGGGCAUUCAUCAGAGUCUCUUUUCAGAGAGGUGGAGGGCAGAGAGACCCCGUCUGGUAAACACGGCUGCAGCAAAAGAAAGUGUGGCAACACACAUCUGCCAGCAGUGUUGGAGCAGUCCAGCAGUUAUCCGGAGCAGUCACUUCUUCUGUGCUGAAUGUGACAUCAGCGUGCACACCAGACAUGUCCUCCACAAUAGAGAUGCCAUGACUGCUGGCUUCUUCCAGCCAUUGCCUCCAACAACUGUCGUGGUCGAUAAGGCUCUUUCCCAAUGUGUGCGGCUUGUACCUGUGGAAAUGCCUGACAAAAUCUGUGGUUGUUCACCAGAGUCAUUGAGGGUCAGUCCAGGAAAGACUGUUGCUGUGGUCACAAUGAAUGGACGAUAUGAUCUAAGCAUGCCCGAGUUAUUUUGUGAGGCAUGCCAAGCCACUUGGACUCCUGCAGUGGCCGACCUUAACAGCAGUGACUACUGGCCGGCAACUCUUCAGUUUGCCACAAUUUAUACUACCGAUAUAUUUUUCUCAUUUGAGGAAAUGAAGAUGGUGGCACCAGGACUGUCCUGUCAAGCAUUUUUAAGAAUGCUGGAUCAGCGAACUGUUCGCUUUGGUCGUGUGAGUAUUGAAUGUAUAAAUCCUGCAGUAUCGUUAAUGUAUUUGAAUUGUGGGCUGAAAACCUGUUUGAUGUUAAUGUAUUUGUUGUACAUGUAUAAGCUUUUGGUUUCUUUAUUUUUAAUAGACUGGCAAGAUCUCUGCAGACAGUUUUCAGAAAAGUUUUUUUGAGUGGGAGGCUGUGCGAUUUGAGGUGGACAGUAUAUGCAAGGAAGAGCCCUUCAUCUGCCCUGCAUGCUCCCCAAAUAUGCUCGCCGUUUCCGUAGAUGGAAACCGCAAGCAUUACCGUUUUAAGAAUGCUGCUAGGUACUUCAAACUGUGUCACAGUGUUCUUACAUAUUAAUAAGAUAACAUGGCUCUUUAUUAUGCACUAAGUAAUCUUACAUUAUAAGUUAUAGAGUUGUCGAAAAUACUGACUUAUAAAAAUUAUAAAAAAUUAUAAAAAUGUGACUGACACUUUUAGCGCUGAUCAUUUAAAGCCAUUCUCAGACAUAUCCAAUGAGUGUGUGAACACAAUGGCCAAUCAGAGGUGUUUAUGAAUCCGCUCAACAGCGCUCAAAGCAUUACGUUUUUUUAAAUUUCAGACUGGUACUGAAGUUAGUACUUAUGACAACUCUAAUAAGUUAUCAUAAACUGUUUUGUACCUUUGUUGUUGUUUUUGUUGUUGUUGUUUUUUUUAGAUCUGAGGAACAGGCCAUCUAGCCAAAGAUGAAGAUGUUACAAGAUUUGUGGACCACAUUCACAGCACAACCAAACAUGUAAAAAGUGUAUAUGAUGAUAAAUAAAACUACAAUACUACAGUAACCUCUUACUGAAGAGUUUGUUUAGAAGAGUCUUGUUUUCAUUGACCAUUAUCCAUGUUGUAGGUCAGUGGGAGAGGUGUUUGUGGAGGGGAGCCAGAGAGACCUCCCAAAGAUCUGCCAGCAAGGUAGAUGAAGAGGGAUUGGAGGUUGCGGUUUGUCGGCACGGAGUGCUUCUCUGUGCUUUAAAUAUGUACAGGGGUGAAAUUUUUGCCUAUCCCCUGUACCUUCAAGAAAACUUGGCCAGUAGGCAAGUCACUUUUUUUUUGUAUGGAUGUGACCUGCAAAUAUUGGCGCUACCUGCAAAGAGUUACAAAAAGCUGCCCAGAGCUCCAGCACCUCCUUAACAUGAGGCCAUUCCUUUCGGUAUUUCAUGCCAAAGCCCAUGAUUUUAAAUGUGAGGUAAGAAAAUGUUGCUAUGUGACAGAACCACAUUAUCUUAAACCAAACAUCAGCAAACAUCUUGUUCUUUGUUUAUUUAUGUUUUCUUACUCAGGUGAAAUGGAGUGGGUCGUAUCAGGAUGGGGCUGGACUAACACUAGGGGAGGAGGUGGAACAGUGCAAUGCCUUCCUCUCUAGGAUUGCAGUGACAACAAAACAUAUGUCAAAAGCAGGUAAGAUGACCACAUAGUGCUCUAGUUACAUAAUCACAUAAUAAUAUAUUUUAUGCAUCAUAUCUUUUGUGUUUGCAGGACGCACAGACAUGCUGACUCUCAUGGCCAUGCGCUGGAAUCAGCAAAAGUUCCGAAAUAUGGCAGUUUCACUGACUCGCCGAUAUCAGAAGGUAAUGACAACUGUAGAAUUGGUUUUACAUGGUCAGUAUUGUGUGUUUGCAGUGUAUGAAGCUGUGCAUUGAACAUUUGGUUCUUGUUUCUUGGUUCUGUGAUUGCUUGUCAUUGUAGACCAGAAAAGCUCUGCAAAGCCAGUUACAAAACCUAGAGUCCUUGAAAGCCCAAUUGGCAGUGACAGAGAGCUAACUGGAAGACUGGGUCAGUGAUGUAAAGGAGUGGGCAGGCGGUGAGGAAAUGAUUACUGUUAAACCUCAAGUUCAGAAUACUUAAAACAUUUAGGUAAACUAAUUUUUCAAGUUCAGAAUCACAGACACCCCAUCACUCCCACAGUUAUCAGCCUUACCCCACUCGUCAUAGUGUUAAUUACAAACAGCUAAUUUACAUAAACAUCACAUUCAGAUCUUGUUUCAAUGUUUGAUGGCAAAUAACACAUGCUAAUAUAACUAUCAAAGAGACUGUCAUUAUAUGUAUAUAAUCAAACAACAUACAGUACAUGUGGUUUCAAAAGUUUAGCAGCCCAUCCUCAACCAAAACACAUGCUCUACUCUUCACCACAGUGGUAACCCUACAAAACUAACUUAACAGAACCUCCUGUAAAUCCCAGAAUAAAUCAAUAUUAAAGAAUAGCCUAUGAUAAUCUGCAAAAACACACAAAAUAACACUUAAUUUCAACAUUUAUUUAUACUGUCUAACACAACGAAUGCAGGAAAUUAGAAAUGUGCUGCAAUUAAACUGCUUACUACAAUUAAAUUUUGAGUUCCAAAAACUUUUUUUUUUCUAUUAAAUACAGAGAACUUCCAUUAUUAUUUGAGUGAAACUAACUCAUUUCAUUUAAUUAAUUACACUGUUUGGUCUUACAGUGCACAAAUAAUUGUAAUGUUACUUUUAUUUUAAUUUAAACUGCAAACUACCUAUUUCUUCUCAGCAGCAAGAGUAACAACCACAAAUGAUGCUGAUGGCUUGGCCAGCAGAAUUGAGGUCCUGGUAGCGAGUAUCAAGAGACGUUCCCAUCGGCUCUACAAAGAUACCGAUGGGAACAAAGGUCGUGCCAGAAUCCGCCUCAAGAUCAGGGAGGAGAAGGGCAUCCUGACAUCUGAUGUGGAGAAAUACAACAGAAUGGUUCCAAGCACAGAAAGUCUUUGCUUGGAAACCAUUCUGUCUGGUGGGACAGCUUGGCCAUGGCAGCUACCACACAGUGGUGUGUACACUAGUCUGUUGACUGCUUCUGACAAAUCUGAUAUAUACAUUAUGACACAUUACCCACAAUGCUUCAAAUGUCAUUCUGUGACUUUUGUUUCUGUGAUUCUUUAAAGGUUGAUGUUUGAUACAUAUGAAUUAAGUCUUUCUCAUAAAUGCAUUCCAGACUCUGUCGAUCUAAGGACAAAAAGAAGAGCGUUUGACAUCAUCAUGUCAGUAAGAAGACUUGAGGAGGAGCUGAAGAUUCUUGUGGCAGAGAUGGACCACCACUGGAAAUCUCUUUCAACUAGUGCUGAUACCCUCAGAGAGCUGUCCCACAUGUUUGCCAGUGAGACAAUGAGAAGUAUGUAUUGUAUUUGUACAAAAAAUGGCAUAAACAUUUAGGGUUGCUAUGACCAUAGAUUUCCAACUGUCAGAAUAUUUUUAUUAUACAGUUAGUAAGAGUGAUCUGUUAACUAAAAUCUACUAAAGUGCAUAUUCCCAUAACUACAUAUAGGACAUGUCCUCUCUAAUCAUUAAAGUAAGUAGCCUAGUAAUUAAAAAAAUAUAUAUAUAUUAUUGAACGAUAAGUGGCUUUUAGCUCUAUAAGUCAUUACACUUGGCCUAAUUCUCCACUCCACUCCAACUGGUAGCUGAAAGUAGAGAAUGAUGCUUUCUUGUCCUUGAUGCCCUCGCAAUGCUCAAACUUUGAAUUUCCUUCAUGACAUUUACUAUCUAGUGAAAAUGAGGACCAGCCGUUUAAUCCAUAAUAGCUGUCCGUGACUGUCUGAUUAUCACCAAGACCUAUGGCUAUGUUUGGUUGUGUUGUUUGCAGGAAAAACAAUUAUUUGUCCAACUAUGGUCAUUCUGACUGACUAACAAUUCGUUGACUGUUUGGGGGCAGCCCUAAUAAAUAUACAUAACUAUGAUGUAUGUUUAUAAAGUUUCUAAAGCAUGCUUAAUGUUAUUUUGUUCCUCUUUUAAGAUUCACCAUGUUGCUUAAGUGAAGAGGGUUUGAAAGGUCUGCAGAGCAUCAUCCUGAGAAAGCAACAUAAAGUCAGAGAAAUGAAGGUGCAAGCAAGAGACUGUUACCUGCAAGUUUUGUCUGGAGAAGGCAACAUCAACUUUUUGUACAGUGCUUCAGCUGAUGAGUGUGACAGUGACUGUGAAAUGUCUGAUGACGGACUGUAAUCCACAAGACUGAGACACCUUUCAUCGUUCUGGACAAUGACCUUAACUCUGUAUAUAAAGAAUGUAAUAAAAUCUGCUUUUCAUCACCUUUAUAAAUGGAACCAAAAGUGUUGCCUCUUCUUUCACAUACAUAGAAAUGUGUGCAUGCAUGCCUCUAGAACCAGUAUGUGGUGGAAAUUAAGUGCAUUAAUUGAAGUAUUGUAUGGUACUUAGAGAUUUGAGGUAAGAGUUUCUUCUCAUCCAAACUUUAAUUUAUACUCCACUGCAAUUCAGAGAGAGAAAAAAUGCACUUGACAGCACAUGGAGAGCUUUUAAAUGACAUUUUGUUGCAAAAGAAACUUCUCAACAGUACAAUUAGUUGAUUGGCAGAAAAUGAAUUGCCAAAUAAUUUUCACGCAAAAACAUUUAAUGGUUCCAGCAUGUAUUUUUUUAAUUUGAGGUUUGAACUGUUCACAGCUUUUAUCGAUGCAUCUUUUUGGGGUUUUGUGUAAUUGUGUCUGUUUUUCUCAUUUUCAUACUUGCUCACAAACCAAACUCUUCAUUUGUUGAGAAAUAAAUAGAUUAAUUUAUGAAAAUAAUCAUUAGUGAACGUUGUGUACAAAAUAAUGAAUAAUAAUCUUGCAUGAGUAAUAAUAAUCUAAGGUUAUAUGAUUCACGGGGGGAAUGAAAUAUUAGAACACAGCUUGUGGCUGUGGAAGUGUAGAGUGUAUUUCAAAUAUAACAAC